rnacentral:guide_RNA from 1 species
ACCAAACAGAUCAGAUAAAGGCAGUGAUAUAGAGAAUAUAAAAUAAGGUAUAU